rnacentral:rRNA from 1 species
GAGGACCGAACCGACUAAUGUUGAAAAAUUAGCGGAUGACCUGUGGCUGGGGGUGAAAGGCCAAUCAAACCGGGAGAUAGCUGGUUCUCCCCGAAAGCUAUUUAGGUAGCGCCUCGUGAAUUCAUCUCCGGGGGUAGAGCACUGUUUCGGCUAGGGGGCCAUCCCGGCUUACCAACCCGAUGCAAACUGCGAAUACCGGAGAAUGUUAUCACGGGAGACACACGGCGGGUGCUAACGUCCGUCGUGAAGAGGGAAACAACCCAGACCGCCAGCUAAGGUCCCAAAGUCAUGGUUAAGUGGGAAACGAUGUGGGAAGGCCCAGACAGCCAGGAUGUUGGCUUAGAAGCAGCCAUCAUUUAAAGAAAGCGUAAUAGCUCACUGGUCGAGUCGGCCUGCGCGGAAGAUGUAACGGGGCUAAACCAUGCACCGAAGCUGCGGCAGCGAACGUAUCACUUAAAGCGAUUCAGCGGAUGACGAUUGACGGAGCGAAGCGACGUCAAAGCGUAUACAAAGUCGAGUCGGUUUAAGGAUACGUUCGUUGGGUAGGGGAGCGUUCUGUAAGCCUGCGAAGGUGGCCUGUGAGGGUUGCUGGAGGUAUCAGAAGUGCGAAUGCUGACAUAAGUAACGAUAAAGCGGGUGAAAAGCCCGCUCGCCGGAAGACCAAGGGUUCCUGUCCAACGUUAAUCGGGGCAGGGUGAGUCGACCCCUAAGGCGAGGCCGAAAGGCGUAGUCGAUGGGAAACGGGUUAAUAUUCCCGUACUUGGUGUUACUGCGAAGGGGGGACGGAGAAGGCUAUGUUGGCCGGGCGA